rnacentral:misc_RNA from 1 species
GUAACUCAGGAAGAAAUGUUAAAUUAUUAAACCUAAUUACUAUAAUUAUCUAGUUAGUUGCUAAAAAAAUCAUGGAAAUAGUAAUAAAAACCUUAUAACUACACCUAAGAUCGGUCUUACAAAAUUUUAGGACUAACAAAAGUUUUCACAAAUCAUCAAGGAACAGCUAAUUUCAUCAUCACAUUUGGCAGAAGAUCUUUCUUUGAACGUCAAUUUUAUAAGCCAAUAUAUAUGUGUAAAUUACUUAGGAAAUCUUAUAAUUUUAACAAUAAGUAGUGACAUAUGUUGGAAGCAAAAUCUAACAAAUACUAUUUAAAGAUGCUUUAAAUCUUUCUCCACACAACUAUCUAGAUAAAAGCCCAAUUAUUAAUCAAGUCUUUUAACUGUGUGAUAUAGGCAACUUCUUUUGCCAUUUUUAUCCUGUAUAGGACUCGAAGAACUCAAGGAAUUCAAAAAUGUUUGCCAGGGAAAAUACUUUUCCUUGGAAUUCAAUUAUAGCUUUAGAUGCAAAUUAUUUGUUCAUAAACUAAGGAUCAAAUAACAAAAAAGAAGCCAUAUUUGAGAUAUAUUCUGCUUACAUCAUUAAAUAAGGCAAAAAAUUGCAUGUAACAAGCAUGUUCUCAUUCACCUUCUUAACUUUAUAAUUGAUUAAAAAUUGAACAAAACGUAAAUCUAGUUAUUCAAAGUAGAAUUCAUGCAUAUAUGCGUGUCAGUUAC